AGCCCCUCUUGAGCUACAGCUCUUAACACGCGACAACAGCAACAAUGUCCGUUUGCGGUUUAAAAAGUUACGGUUUUUCAGCAGGACGUUAUGGAUCCUGCACCAAUUGAAAAGGAGGCAGUGUGCUUGGCACUUAUAACCAACUCAUGGGCACAUGGCAUCGUUGUUGUUGGCCUCCGUCUGUCUCGAGAGACAAUGGAGUGCGCCUCCGGGGGUGAAGUCAAACUGCUGCACUAGCAGCACUGAAGUGACCUCCCCCGGGUUGCAAGCCUGGGCAGUGUGUGUGGAGCUCCUGGGCUGCCCAGACGACAAGACCCUCCUCUCGGCCUCACUGAUGGGGUCCACAGGAGCCAGCUGGGUUGGAGGAGUUGCCAGAAGGAGGUGCACAAGGUGCCACUGAACCAUCUUAGGAACUCCUCUCCAGAUUUGUGUAAGGUUUACUCCAUUGUCAUUUCUUCUCCUGAAGACAUCCCACAAGGCAGUGGAAGUUUAGGAACAGCGUUUUCCUUCCCCUAGAUGGGCUCCCUUCCCAUGUGGACGCAGAGGCGGAGCAACCUGUUCCGGUACCUGGAGCGGUGUUUGUCCCAGGGGGUGUGAUGCGCUCCUGAGGGGGUGUAACACACCACUCGCGGGGGCAUGGCAUGCAUCCCGAGGGUGUGGUGUGCAUCCCGGGGGUGUGGCACGCAUACCGGGGGUGCACGACGAGCAGCGCAUGCCCCAGGAGGUGCCACAGAUAGGGAGUCGGCAUUUUGUCUCACCCCCUUUGGAAUGGCACCCAGGGUGGACCACCCCCCUGCCCCCACUUCAGAACGCCCCUGUGUGGACGAGCCCUAUCUACCCCUCACUUCCCUCUAGAGUGGUACCUCUGGUUGCGAACGGGAUCCAUUCCGGAGGCCCGUUCGCAACGUGAAAAGAGCGUAACCCGCAGCGGCGCGUUUGCGCACGCACGGGUUGCGAUUUGGUACUUCUGCGCAUGGUGUCAUUUUGCGCUUCUGUGCAUGCUCGAGUGGUGAAACCCAGAAGUAACCCUUUCCAGUACUUCCGGGUCACCGCAGGACGUAACCUGAAAGAACGUAACAUGAAGCGAACGUAACAUGAGGUAUGACUGUACAGUGCAGAAACUGCCUUCUUCACCAUUGGACCCCCUACUGGUCUGGUCUGCUCAAUCCACCUAAGGCUUUCUUCACAUGCAGGGGAACUCUCUAACUCUCCGAGGGUUUGAAACCCAUUGGCUACUCUCACGUGGUUUAGCUGGCCAGUCGAAGCCGUUUCCUAGGGUGUGGCCAAUGUCUCAUUCUGGCAGCUUCUAGGAGUCCCAGGUGAGAGCUGAGUGCAGGGUGGGGUCCAAAGGUCCAGAAGGAGCAUGACAUGUCUCCACCAGAGGUAUUUCCCCUCCCCUAACACCCCACGCCCCCCGAAAUGCAGGUGUUCUAACAAUAGCUGGAUGGAGAAUUUGAGACCCAGGGCUCCUUUAUUAGUCAAGAAUCUGCUGAGGUGAAGGGAAGAAGGUGACAAAACACCGCCAUUUUCACACAGGGUGUGGGGAGACUCACAAUUCCACACGAAACUGGGCUGCUGAGCCUGUGCUUUCCCCCUGACCUCACUAAAUCAGAAUGCACAGGUUUCUAAAGGUGAGCCUCUUCAAGCACACCCGAGCCUACCCAGAUUCCAAGCUAGUGACCACAAAGCAAUGCUCUGGAUUUGUGUACAUCUCAGAGGAGUCGUUGAGCAAUCACCAUGACAAAUAAGAUACUGAAACAGCUGAGAAAGUCACCGGCAGUGUGGUACGGAGAGGGGGAAGGAGGGGCAUCAUGCAUCAGUGUUCCAAAUAUGAGGAAGUACAUGGGAACUGCUUCCUCAAGACCUCAACCUCAACCUGCGCUUGCGGUGGGAGGAGUCACCAAUGGUGAAAGCUGCAGCUGCUUAAUUUGGCCUUCUCCCUAUGCCACCAUGAAUGGGACUUCUCUGUGGUUACUCUGUGCGGAACUACUCACCAUCCAAAUCUCUUUCCAGAAUGCCUAAUCCAGUGGUGGGGAAAGCCAGAGCAGGAGCGACCCUCAAAUCCUUUCCAUCUGGCCUCUCAUGAGACAACACUCAGCCCCAGGACAUUCUCCCUCUCUGAUCCUGCUCCUCAAGGGCUUUCCCCUAGCUAGAAAGGAUUCCCCUUGAGCCGUAAAGAUGCCUCUCACUUGCCUGAAUAAAGGGUGUGUACAAAC